AAAAAAGUGGUGAAAGCAGACAUAUCUGUCUUGUUCCUGUUCUUUGUUUUUACCCAUUGAGUAUGAUGUUGGCUGUAGGUUUGUCAUAUAUGGCCUUUAUCAUGUUGAGAUAUGCUCCCUCUAUUCCCACUUUGCUGAGAAUUUUUAUCAAAAAUGGGUGUUAGAUUUUGUCAAAUGCUUUCUCUGUGUCUAUUGAUAUGAUCAUGUGAUUUUUGUCUUUCAAAUUGUUUAUGUGAUGUAUCACAUUUAUUGAUUUGUGAAUACUGUACUGGCCUUGCAUCCCCGGAAUAAAUCCCACUUGGUCAUGGUGUAUGAUCUUUUUAAUAUAUUGCUGGAUGCAAUAUGCUAAUAUUCUGUUGAGGAUUUUAGCAUCUAUUUUCAUCAGGGAUAUUGGCCUGUAAUUCUCUUUCUUUGUAGUGUCUUUAUAUGCUUUUGGAAUUAGGGUAAUGCUGGCCUCAAAGUUUCUAAUAAUAAGAGUUGGUGUUUAUAGUUUAAAUCAUUUAGGCAAGUUAUCUCUUUUAGAGGGGGGCAGUUUUUAAAAAGUAGAAUAGUACUGGAAGAGGCACUGAAGGCGAUGGUAAGGGCAUGGUUUCUGGAGUCAGAUGGCCAGAGGGUGAUCACUAAUAUGCCCAUUUUAUAGAUGGGCAUAUUAGUGAUCCAAAAAGGCUUUUGUGAAGGUUAAAUUAAUAAAAGGUUUAGUGUGAAGCCUUAUAAGAAGUAAUACUUGGUAAAUAUUAGCUGCUAUUAUUACUGUCAUUACUAUGAUUGUUCAUAUUAUUUAACACUGUUGACCGAGGUACAGUGUAGAUACUGGGUUUACUGAGCCGAAUGUUUCAGCCAAUGGGCAUCCUUGAAUGCAAGGAAUGUAGCAUUUCUGUUGAUAAACCACGGUGAGCUACUAUGGUGAAGGUACCUCUCACUCAGAUGUGAUAUUCAUUCUGGUUGGAAAAGUGGAUUUCUCGCUGUUUAGUUAUCUACCAAACCACCCCAAAACAUGGUGGCUUAAACUAACAGCAUUUUAUUAUUUCUUACAGUUCAGGGGGUUGACUGGGUGAAAUCUGAGGAGGUAAGAGGUUCAAAUUGGCUUCACUGCCAUGGCUGUGGGCCAGAGGCCUGCUGGGACUGUUUCCCAGGUCCUCAGUCCUCCGGUUGCCUUUUCCACUUAGCUAGGGUGAGCUUCUCAAAGCAUGGUGGCUGCAGGCAAUUGGUGCUCUUUCCUGGUGGCUAGCUACCUUCAGUCUUUUUUGUAUACAAUAGCCAUACAAAAAGGAAGUAAGAGAUUAUAUAGAAAAAAAUUAUGAUGUUUUUACUUUGGUCCUGUUUCAGCAAAUAUUGGUUUUUAGAGACUUGUAAUAAAAAUGGCCUUAAAUCCUCUUUAGCAAACAGCUGAAGAUUUGCCCCAGUUAGGAAGGAAACUACCAUUAUGGCUCUGAACAUACCCAUGCCUGGGAGCCUCCUGGGGCUUCUCGUUUGAGCAGGAGUUUGGGUUGUGGGGUGCUGUACCUUAUGACCUUACAAUAUAAUUGCUUUAAUAGCCAUAAAAGGAGGGCCUGUGCCCCACUCCCCCAAUAAUUUAUGCUGCCCUGGGUCCCAUCUUUACACUUUAUUGUGUUGGUGUUUGGGAGGCGUUAUGCUGCCAUGAUUGACAGCAGGAACCCUGAGGCCCUGUGACCCACUUCCUUCCUUUAGCUGUGUCAGCUUGGACAGAUCACUCACUCUGUUCAAUUUCUUCAUCUGGAAAAUGACAUGAGAAUAGGGAUAUGACUCAUAGGACUGAUGUGAGGAUUAGAUGAGAUAUAGUACACAUAAAACGUUUUAGCCCAGUGCCUGGCAUAAUGAGUAUUAUAUUCAGUGAUGUUAUUAUUAUUUUAAUAAUCAUUUUUGCUAGACUUCCAUAUAAGAUUUUCUGAUUCAUUGUUAACAGCUGGUGCUCAGUGAGGUAGGUGAUGAUGAAACUGAGAGUCAGAGAGCUUAAGUAACUUAUCCCAUGUGGCACAAUUCACACAUGGUAGAACUAGCCAUCAGACUCUGUCCUUCUGACUCUUAUUCAUCUUAUUCCAUCACACAGACCUCACAAAUAGUGUCAACCUGAUGGCAAGGGCAUGGGUGUUGGGUUGGGUUGUGUUGUUCUAUGCCUCUUGUCAUUCUUGGGCGUGUUUAUCUGAAUGAUGUAAUAACCAUUCCAUUUUGGCCAUAUGUGGCUUUGGGCAGGGACACAGGUCAUCCUUUUUAUAACCCAAUGUUCUGCAUGAUCUAGGUGUUCAAUUAAUGUUGUUACCGGUGACAGUAACGGAUUAGAAGGCUUGUCUGAUUUACUUUGUGAUUCUUGAUUAAAUUUGGGUAUCUUAAAAAAGAAGCCAUAAUGAAUGGAUGCCUUGUUUCUUUAAAUCAUUCUGAGUCUUCGGGCCAUUGCAACAUAGAAAAGAUUUAAUUUUAGAGAAUUAGGUUGCUGAAGCAAUCUAACUUCCUUCUCUUGAGAGCAGUGUGUGUGGAUGGCCUGGUGUAUUGGUCUCGGUGGUGGACUGCAUGUGGAAGGUGGAGCUGUGUGAACCCGUGCCUAUGGGGCAUAAGGGCUUGUGAAUGUCUGGGUAUGCUCACAAACGUGGAGGUUGAUGAGGAAUUACUCUUGGUAAGGUUUACUUGGCCAGUUAGAAUUAAGUGUAUGCCAGUAGUGGGUGAAAAAAAAUUGGGGGAAACUGUUAGAGAUAUAAAGAAACCUAGCAACAAAAUACAGUUUGUAGUAAAAUUUGGAUCCCUGGUUGAAUACACCAGUUAUAAAAAGAUGUUAUUGAGACAGUUGGGGAGAACUGAAUUUGGACUGGGUAUUAGAUUAUGUUAAGAAUUACUGACAAGAAUUAUUGUUGCCCUAACGGGUUUGGCUCAGUGGAUAGAGUGUUGGCCUGCGGACUGAAAGGUCCCAGUUUCCAUUCCGGUCAAGGGCAUGUACCUUGGUUGCGGGCACAUCCCCAGUAGGAGGUGUGCAGGAGGCAGCUGAUUGAUGUGUCUCUCUCAUCGAUGUUUCUAACUCUCUAUCCCUCUCCCUUCCUCUGUAAAAAAUCAAUAAAGUAUAUAUUUUUGAAAAGAAUUAUUGUUAAUUUUGUUGGAUAUAAUAUUGGUGUCACAGUUUUGUUCAAAGGAGAAGGGUCUUAUCAAACAGAAAGAAAUAUUUAUGGAUGAAAUGAUUUGAUGCAUGAGGCCUAUUUUCAAAUACUGCAACAAACAAUAAACAAGCAAAAAGUUGGGGAGAAGGAUAACAGGAAAAAUAGUAAAAUAUCGAUACUUAAGCUGAUUGUUGGGGUUUAUUAUACUGUUCUAUUUUUGCAUACAUUUGAAAGUUUCCAUAAUACAAAUUUUAAAAAAGUUUUUCAUAAUACAAAUUUUAAAAAUCUGCACAAAGAGUUGGAAACCUGGAUGGCAAUUCUGAAGUUGGCUGCAGUUAUUGUUGGAUGCAUUUAGCUUCAAAAGACAGACUCAUAGAAUAUGUUAGUAUUAGGGGAACACUGUAUUUCUUUUCAAAUGUUUAGUUUUUAAGAGCUAUCUGUGAAAGAAGUUGGAAGUAGGUGUGAACAAAUGAUAUCGGACCUUUGUUGAGACUAGGAUUAGCUAAGUCAGAGGAAUAAAGAUAGACUCUUUCAAUCUCAGUGCUGGAAGGAGCAGUGUAUGUUUGAGCUGGAAUAAAAGACAUCCUCCAGAGCAAGAAGAGUUGCAUUGCAGCUGCUCACUUUGUCCCAGGUUGUGAAAAUGUUCUGCUCAAGGACCACAGUCAAGCUGCGUGCCCCCAAAGCAGAGAAACUAUACUAAUUUGAGCCUAAAACCAAGCCACUGAACUUUUUUUCUCCUCUAAACUUGAAUCAAGAGUUAAUUAAAAAAAAACAACAACAAAAAAACACAGAACAAAAACCUCCCAUUAAGUGAAAUA